GUGGGGAAUAUUGCACAAUGGGCGGAAGCCUGAUGCAGCAACGCCGCGUGCGGGAUGACGGCCUUCGGGUUGUAAACCGCUUUCAGCAGGGACGAAGCGCAAGUGACGGUACCUGCAGAAGAAGCACCGGCUAACUACGUGCCAGCAGCCGCGGUGAUACGUAGGGUGCGAGCGUUGUCCGGAUUUAUUGGGCGUAAAGAGCUUGUAGGCGGUUGGUUGCGUCGAAAGUGCAAACUCAGGGCUUAACUCUGAGCCUGCUUUCGAUACGGGCUGACUGGAGGAAGGUAGGGGAGAAUGGAAUUCCCGGUGGAGCGGUGGAAUGCGCAGAUAUCGGGAGGAACACCAGUGGCGAAGGCGGUUCUCUGGACCUUUCCUGACGCUGAGAAGCGAAAGCGUGGGGAGCAAACAGGCUUAGAUACCCCAGUAGUCC
rnacentral:rRNA from 1 species